UACGGAGGGGACUAGCGUUGUUCGGAAUUACUGGGCGUAAAGCGCACGUAGGCGGAUUUGUAAGUCAGGGGUGAAAUCCCGAGGCUCAACCUCGGAACUGCCUUUGAUACUGCAAAUCUCGAGUCCGGAAGAGGUGAGUGGAAUUCCUAGUGUAGAGGUGAAAUUCGUAGAUAUUAGGAAGAACACCAGUGGCGAAGGCGGACUCACUGGUCCGGUACUGACGCUGAGGUGCGAAAGCGUGGGGAGCAA
rnacentral:rRNA from 1 species